AUCGACCUAAAAAAAAAUAAAAGAGGAUUAGUCAUCGGAUUUAAAUGUUAGGCCACGUCAUAUACCCUUGGAAUACUAGCUCCAUAAUCGCUAACACCCACGUUGGCACCAAAUGUAUGUUGUUGAUACCACCAACAGGUCCAUGAGGAAAUAUACCUAUAAAAAGCAAUAGAUGAUCUAGCACGGCAACUAUCAGCAACAUGUAGAGGUAAUCAGCUGGGCUGCGCCCAAAUUGCUCCUUUUCCAGCUGCGCUAUGUAGCGCAAAAUGAAGUAGCAAUUGAUGAG